AGUCGAACGAGAUCUUCGUGAUCUAGUGGCAGACGGGUGAGUAACGCGUGGGAACCUGCCCUUUAGUAAGGAAUAACUCAGGGAAACUUGAGCUAAUACCUUAUAAUCCCUUUGGGGGAAAGCUUUAUGCGCUAAUGGAUGGGCCCGCGUUGGAUUAGCUUGUUGGUGAGGUAAUGGCUCACCAAGGCAACGAUCUAUAGCUGGUCUGAGAGGAUGAUCAGCCACACUGGGACUGAGACACGGCCCAGACUCCUACGGGAGGCAGCAGUGGGGAAUAUUGGACAAUGGGGGCAACCCUGAUCCAGC
rnacentral:rRNA from 1 species